CCGAGUUCUGGCUGUAUAAGUGCGGCCGACUCCCACCCCAUGUCAAACUACCUGUUGCUUCGGCGAGUCGACAGCUUUGCUGCCGUCGGUUUCAACGGGCGUGAGCUCGCCGAAGUUUUUAACACAUUUUUUGCUGUCUGAUUUAAAACAUAAAUUACAA
rnacentral:misc_RNA from 1 species